rnacentral:rRNA from 1 species
GAUGAACGCUGGCGGCGUGCCUAAUACAUGCAAGUCGAGCGAACGGACGAGAAGCUUGCUUCUCUGAUGUUAGCGGCGGACGGGUGAGUAACACGUGGAUAACCUACCUAUAAGACUGGGAUAACUUCGGGAAACCGGAGCUAAUACCGGAUAAUAUUUUGAACCGCAUGGUUCAAAAGUGAAAGACGGUCUUGCUGUCACUUAUAGAUGGAUCCGCGCUGCAUUAGCUAGUUGGUAAGGUAACGGCUUACCACGGCAACGAUGCAUAGCCGACCUGAGAGGGGGAUCGGCCACACGGGAACUGAAACACGGUCCAGAGUCCUAAGGGAGGCAGCAGUAGGGAAUCUUCCGCAAUGGGCGGAAGCCUGGCGGAGCAACGCCGCGUGAGUGAUGAAGGUCUUCGGAUCGUAAAACUCUGUUAUUAGGGAAGAACAUAUGUGUAAGUAACUGUGCACAUCUUGACGGUACCUAAUCAGAAAGCCACGGCUAACUACGUG